GACGAACGCUGGCGGCGUGCCUAAUACAUGCAAGUCGAGCGAAUGGUAGGGAGCUUGCUCCUUACCAUUAGCGGCGGACGGGUGAGUAACACGUGGGCAACCUGCCUAUAAGACUGGGAUAACUUCGGGAAACCGGAGCUAAUACCGGAUACAUUCUUUUCUCGCAUGAGAGAAGAUGGAAAGACGGUUCUGCUGUCACUUAUAGA
rnacentral:rRNA from 1 species